rnacentral:rRNA from 1 species
GACGAACGCUGGCGGCGUGCUUAACACAUGCAAGUCGAACGGAAAGGCCCUGCUUUUGUGGGGUGCUCGAGUGGCGAACGGGUGAGUAACACGUGAGUAACCUGCCCUUGACUUUGGGAUAACUUCAGGAAACUGGGGCUAAUACCGGAUAGGAGCUCCUGCUGCAUGGUGUGGGUUGGAAAGUUUCGGCGGUUGGGGAUGGACUCGCGGCUUAUCAGCUUGUUGGUGGGGUAGUGGCUUACCAAGGCUUUGACGGGUAGCCGGCCUGAGAGGGUGACCGGCCACAUUGGGACUGCGAUACGGCCCAGACUCCUACGGGAGGCAGCAGUGGGGAAUAUUGCACAAUGGGCGGAAGCCUGAUGCAGCAACGCCGCGUGCGGGAUGACGGCCUUCGGGUUGUAAACCGCUUUCGCCUGUGACGAAGCGUGAGUGACGGUAAUGGGUAAAGAAGCACCGGCUAACUACGUG